AGGCAUGAUUGCAUUUGUUACCUCUGGAUAAAUGCUCAUGGAUUGAAGCACCUGUUUAAAUCGCACCCUACUUCUAGCCCUGCCUCCAGACUCGCCUCUUUGCAUUCAGGGAGCACAGAAAUGUGGAACCCCAUCUAAUGGGUUCACUGGCACACAGACCUCAGACAAGGGGGAGCUGAGGACUGGACUCUGACCACUGUUUUGGUUCUAAAUUUCUUCCUGAGGCCCAAGAGGAGGUCACGUCCACCAGCUAAACCUAGCAUUCUUUUCUGCUGGCUACAAAAUUUUUAGACAAGGCUUUGCCUCCUUAAACAAUCGCAAGUUUAAAAAUCUUUGAAUCCAGCCAUCUAUGACCUGUGGGCCCCCACUUGGAGAUGUUCCACGUUUUUAGGUCAAGCCAAUGUACAGCCUCCACCUAUUGAUUUAUGACUUUGCCUGUGACCUCUGCCUCCCUCCCUUUAAAAACUCCUACCUGUAAGCCAUUGAGGCCAGGUCUAAAUCAUGAGCUGCCCUGCAAUCGGUGCCUCAAUUUCUCUCGCCGCAACCCUGAGGUCAGCCUUGGCUUUGCUCUGCUGCACUGGUGGACCCAAGCUCUGUUCACUGUUGUCAGCCUAGGGUCCUGCCUCCAGCCCUGAUUUCUCAGAGAUUGGACUUGGACCCUCCAAGCCCCCUGAUUACAAAAGGAAGUGAGCUUGUUCCAAGACUGCAGGGAAGGGAUUUCCAUUUUGAGCUCCAUAGGCGGCUCCUUCAGCUAUCUCUGUGGCUCACAGACAAAAGCCGGCCCAGGGUGAAAGUGAUCCUGCCA
rnacentral:lncRNA from 1 species